UGGAGAAAAGCAGGGGAUCGCAAGACCUUGCGCUUUUGGAGUGGCCGAUGCCUGAUUAGCUAGUUGGUGGGGUAAGAGCCUACCAAGGCGACGAUCAGUAGUUGGUCUGAGAGGACGACCAGCCACACUGGGACUGAGACACGGCCCAGACUCCUACGGGAGGCAGCAGUGGGGAAUUUUGGACAAUGGGCGAAAGCCUGAUCCAGCAAUGCCGCGUGAGUGAAGAAGGCCUUCGGGUUGUAAAGCUCUUUCAGUCGAGAAGAAAAGGUCGCGACUAAUAAUCGCGACUCAUGACGGUAUCGACAGAAGAAGCACCGGCUAACUACGUGCCAGCAGCCGCGGUAAUACGUAGGGUGCGAGCGUUAAUCGGAAUUACUGGGCGUAAAGGGUGCGCAGGCGGCUUUGUAAGUCAGAUGUGA
rnacentral:rRNA from 1 species